rnacentral:rRNA from 1 species
AUGGUGCAGCGCAGCUCCAACGCCGAGGUCAUGUCCAUGGACCUUUCCCCCAAGAAGCCGGCCAAGGCCUACGGCAGCGACGGCGGCGCCUACUACGACUGGUCCCCCGCCGACCUGCCCAUGCUCGGCGCGGCCUCCAUCGGCGCCGCCAAGCUGCACCUCGCCGCCGGCGGCCUCGCCCUCCCCAGCUACUCCGACUCCGCCAAGGUCUCCUACGUGCUCCAGGGCGCCGGCGCCUGCGGCCUCGUCCUCCCGGAGGCGGCCAAGGAGAAGGUCAUCCCCGUCAAGGAGGGCGACGCCCUCGCGCUCCCCUUCGGCGCCGUCACCUGGUGGCACAACGCCGAGGGCUCCUCCGCCGAGCUCGUCGUGCUCUUCCUCGGCGACACCUCUAAGGGCCACACCCCCGGCCGCUUCACCAACUUCCAGCUCACCGGCGCCUCCGGCAUCUUCACCGGCUUCUCCACCGAGUUCGUCGCGCGCGCCUGGGAUCUCGACCAGGACGCUGCCGCCAAAAUCGUCUCCACCCAGCCUGGCUCCGGCGUCGUGAAGAUCGCCGCCGGGCACAAGAUGCCGGAGCCGCGCGCCGAGGACCGGGAGGGCGUGGUGCUCAACUGCCUUGAGGCGCCGCUGGAUGUGGACAUCCCGGGCGGCGGCUGCGUUGUGGUGCUCAACACGGCCAACCUGCCGCUGGUGAAGGAGGUCGGGCUGGGCGCCGACCUGGUGAGGAUCGGCGGCCGCUCCAUGUGCUCGCCGGGCUUCUCGUGCGACUCGGCGUACCAGGUCACCUACAUCGUGCGCGGCGGCGGUCGCGUCCAGGUGGUUGGCAUCGACGGCACCCGCGUGCUCGAGACCCGUGCGGAGGCAGGGUGCCUCUUCAUCGUGCCAAGGUUCUUCGUCGUCUCCAAGAUCGCCGACGACACCGGCAUGGAGUGGUUCUCCAUCAUCACCACUCCCAACCCAAUCUUUAGCCACUUGGCAGGGAAGACGUCGGUGUGGAAGGCAAUUUCGCCGGCAGUGCUAGAGACGGCAUUCAACACCACCCCGGAGAUGGAGAAGCUGUUCCGCUCCAAGAGGCUCGACUCCGAGAUCUUCUUCGCCCCCAACUAG